GCUCAGAUUGAACGCUGGCGGCAUGCCUUACACAUGCAAGUCGAACGGCAGCACGAUCUAGCUUGCUAGAUUGAUGGCGAGUGGCGAACGGGUGAGUAAUACAUCGGAACGUGCCCUGUAGUGGGGGAUAACUAGUCGAAAGAUUAGCUAAUACCGCAUACGACCUGAGGGUGAAAGUGGGGACCGCAAGGCCUCAUGCUAUAGGAGCGGCCGAUGUCUGAUUAGCUAGUUGGUGAGGUAAAGGCUCACCAAGGCGACGAUCAGUAGCUGGUCUGAGAGGACGAUCAGCCACACUGGGACUGAGACACGGCCCAGACUCCUACGGGAGGCAGCAGUA
rnacentral:rRNA from 1 species